GAUACAGAGAACAAAUAGUAGUUACCAUUGGGGAGGAGGUAGAGAGAGGGGCAAGACUGGGGAAGGUGAUUAAGACAUAUAAACUACUAAGUAUAAAAUAAAUGGGAUACAAGGAUGUAAUGUACAGUACAGGCAAUAUAGCCAAUAUUUUAUAACAAAUUUAAAUGGAGUCUAAUAUAUAAAAAUAUUGAAUCACUAUGUUGUACACCUGAAAUUAAUAUAUUUUUAAUCAACUAUACUUCAAUUACAAAAAGGAUGAAUAUCCAGAUAUGUUUGCUUACUAUACUGAAUCUUUCUUGAGUCAGUUACUGAGAAAUUCUGAGAAUUCAAAAGAAUAUAUAGUAUAAAAAGUGGAAAGGGGCCUAGAGAGUGACUACUUAAAGGGUAUAGGAUUCCCUUUAGGGGGUGAUAUAAAUUUUCUAAAAUUGACUAUAGUGGUGGUUGCACUACUCUAUAAAUAGACCAAAAAUCACUGAAUUGUACAUAUUAAAUGUGUGGAUUGUAUUGUGAGUUUUAUCUCAAUAAAGCUGUUUAAAAAGUCUAUCCACAGCCUCAGCUCUAGUCCCAGCUGAAGCUGCAAGCCCAGACUCAGACUCAGACUUAGUCAUAGAGUUUCAUUCUUGAUUGGUGUAUGUGAAUUAUGGUAAUUCCAUUACCUGUGGUCAGCAAUUGGCUAAGGAGAACCCAUGUAACCCAAUUUUAGCCAGGAUCUGAGGUAAAAGUUUCUUGUCAAUAAAAGAAUGAGAAAGAUUUCUUAGCAUUUAGAGAGUUACAAGAAACAAAUAAUUAUUUUUUCUGCCUCUCUCAUCAUUGUUGUAUGAGGAUGUGAUGCCUGGAGCUGUUGAAGUCAUAUUGAUAUUAUGAGGCACAAACUACCCUACAUAUUGUGAAUGGAAAUGCAAGAAAUAAAAUGAUGUAUGUAGGCUACAGAAGUGAUGAACACCUUUGCAGUUAUUAUGAGACGAAAAAUCUCUUCAUUGUUAAAGGCACACUGAGUUGCAUUUUUUUUUCACUUUGUAGUUAAGAACAUCCUAAAUAAUAAAAUUAUUUACACUCCAUCUUAUACCAAAAUGCCAUGAGAUGGCCAAAUAUUCAUUUAAAAUUAAGAGUUAGGAAAGUCCUUAUCCAUGACAAUCAACCCUACCUGAUAAUGAAACUCUGUAUCCCAUUAUUAAGGAAAUAAUUAUUUAAAUCAUUAGUAGACUUUUAGAGAAUGAACACAUUCUUCUGUCUCCCUCCAUCAGUUUUCAGUGUUUAACAGAUUUCUUAGAAAGCUCUUCCUUGUAUAUAACCUGAUAUAUGAAAACUUUUAACAUGAUAUAGAAACAUGCAAAACCACUGGUGGUACAAAUUUCAGGCACUACAAAUGUUUCAAAAUUGUAAGUUAACAAGAAAUUCUAAUCAUAAUAACCAGGUUAGGUAGAUUGGAUGCAAAUACUCAAGUUUGAAUGAUAAACUAAAUAGAUGAAAGAAUGUCAGCAAUGUUUUGUCUGAGAAAUCAUAACAAAUGUUUAAUGAAACCAAACUAAAUCAUUCUCAGUUCCAGACAGAAAAUCCUCCAUUUCACAAUAGCCUUUAAGGCUAUGUGUGUGCAUGUGUAUUUAGGUGAGGGAAUUUCUGAGGUUUCUGUUAAAAUGAUUUGCUAAUAUACAAGUUCCUGGUUAUUAAAACUGCUUUGAAAAACAGACAAACGAGACAUUUCACCACAAGCCCAGUACCAAACACUGGCACUGAAGAAUAAAAAUGUCAACUUCUCCUUUCCCAAAAGACUUGGGAGCAUGUGUGGGCCCCUGCCAGUAGAAAAGCUUUUUACUCGGUUGUUUUUCCCUAAGACAAUCAGUGUAUUAAGAUUGAGAUUUUCAAGGGAUUUGAUUCAAUUAAAGUAACAGUUUGUUGAAUGCCUACUAUGUGCCAGGUAUUGUGAGAUCCAGGGGAACCCAGGAAAGGAUUUAGUAAGGGAAUGGCUUCUUUGACUUCAUCUCUGUUGCUUCCUGUUUUUGCUGUGAAACCUAUAAGGCUAUUGACCCAAUUUCAUAGUGCUACACUGGAUUCAUGAGGAAUAAGCAUAUGGACUUGAGGAUAACCUAAUGAAACACUUAUGCACUGUCAGAAUUAAAAUCCAUAACCUUAAAGCAACUUUCAUAUUUUUUUUAUUUUAUCACCAUAGUUCCUAUCACUGAUGAUACAUACCCUAGCAUAUACUUCCUACUUCAACUUCUUCAGUAACUCAUUGCAAUCUGAUAUCUGCUUUUUCAACUUCACUAAAAAUUUUCCUUAAAUAAAGGUCAUCAGUGCCAAAGUGCCAAGNUACAGCAAGGGGGUCAGGUUAUCCUUACAUGUAUACAUUACAAUUACAUUUUUUCCCCCACCCUUUGUUCUGUUGCAACAUGAGUAUCUAGACAUAGUUCUCAAUGCUAUUCAGCAGGAUAAGUGCCUUUUUCAAUCUUCAGUCUCUUCAACUUUUCUGCAGCAUUUCAUAGUGCUGACCACCAUCACACCUCUUGAUUCCCUUUUCCCUUAGACUCCACAACACUAUAUUAUGAUGCUUUUCAUUCUAUCUCUCUGACUGCCCCUUCUCUAACUCUUUGGCUACUCUUCUUCCACCAGCACCUCAGGUAUUUUUCUCAGUCCAUUUCAUUUUGUUUCGUUUUGUAUGCUCUCUAUAUUCUCUCAUGGGCAAUUGUAUCCAUUGCCACAGAUUCAAUUAACACCCAAACUCUGAAUAUUCUGAUGACUCUUAUAUUUAUCUCUCUAGCCAGAAUCUCUUACCUAAGUCCUGACAGUCAGUUGACUUUCAUCCCCUGGGACACCUCAAUGCUAUAUCCAAAAUAGAACAUCUUUCCUACUCCGCCUCCUGAAUAUCAAAUUUCCUUUAACAGUACCCACACUCCCAGCUGCCCAAGGCUGAAACUUUAUAGAGUCAUUUUACCUUCCUUCUCAUUCUUAACACUGUAUCUUCCCAAAGUUAUCAAAGUUUGAAAAUUCAAUUGUCAUAAUGUCUCAACCAUAUGUCCAAUCUCUAACUACUCCCCUGCCACUACUUCCUGCCUCUAGUCUGUCUAGAUGCUAUGUUACUGAUACAGCUAUAAAUUGGAAGCUGGAAAUAAGUUAGUAGUGGCAGUAUGUGGUUGUUGAGCAAGAACUGUCACAGAGAAAUGCUUCUUUUCUCAAAGGGACUUUCUUGCUUCAUAUUGCCUCACUUACCCUAGGGUGUGUGAUAUUAGCUAGUGAGUAACCCUUGCCAUAGGUUGUCACAACCACAUAACUUACUCAGCAUUGACAAUAUAAUCAAUUGCAACAUUGAUCUAGGAACACUGGUAGCUGAUGUUCAAGAGGGAUUAAUAUAAAUAUUCUACUUAAAAGUUGGCCAUGAGAAGUAAAAAUAAAGAUGUCUUAGGAUAUCAAAGAUAGAACAGUUAGUUGGUAUUCCUUCAGGAAGAGUAAGUUUGAAACAACAUUCAGAUCCGAGAAAAUAAAUGUUUUAAAAAUAUUCAUGGAGUUCCCGUCAUGGCGCAGUGGUUAAUGAAUCUGACUAGGAACCAUGAGGUUGUGGGUUCGAUCCCUGCCCUUGCUCAGUGGGUUAACAAUCUGACGUUGCCGUGAGCUGUGGUGUAGGUCGCAGAUGCGGCUCUGGCGUAGGCUGGCAGCUACAGCUCCGAUUCAACCCCUAGCCUGGAACCUCCAUAUGCCGCGGGAGUGGCCCAAGAAAUGGUAAAAAGCCAAAAAAAAAAAAAAAUUCAUAACCUCUGCCUAAUGUUUAGUAUGGUAUUAACCCUUUGGAAUAUGGGGUUUUUGUGCGUGUGUGUGUGUGUCUUUUUAGGGCCACACACGUGGCAUGUGGAAGUUCCCAGGCUAAGGGUCAAAUCAGAGCCAUAGCCACCAGCCUACACCACAGCCAUAGCAACACCAGAUUCCAGCUACCUCCGAAACCUAUGCCAUAGAUUGUGGUAAUGACGGAUCCUUUAAUCCACUGAGCAAGGCCAGGGAACCUGCAUCCUCAUGGAUACUAGUCGGGUUCUUAACCUACUGAGUCACAAUGAGAAGUCCUAGAAUAUGGUUUUGACAAAGAAACUCUUGUGUUCAGAAAAGCCUAUUUCCUAACAAUAGCAUAUUCUUCAAUCUGGAUUAUUUUCAACGUGGUAUAUAAAAUAAUUAAGUGCCUUUUAAUCACCUUUUUCUUCUCAUCCAGUCUCCAUUCUGUAAAUUUUAAUUUAUAAGUAAGCAAAUUCUAAACCACUGAAAAUAAUUUAGUAAGUAUACCAUAAGGGUUUUUGUUAUUUCUUUGCUCAAGGAUUAUUUUGCUGUGGAUGAUAACUUAAGUCUGCUUCCUAAUGCCUAGUAAUUCUAACAUAUCUUAGUACCGCCUGCCAAUAUCUUAUGAAACUCUUAAAAGGCUGUAUCGACACAACACUGAAACUCCCAGCUGAAAAGCCAAAUUUUUAGGUAAUCUACAAGCUGGUUUGCCUGUAAGCCAUGAAACAACAAGUUUAAGUGAUUUUUUUCUGAGUGUAAUUAACACAUAGUGCUUCUAUAAUAAUGAGCUGAUUUGGAGAGAAAUAACUGAAGUCAAUCAAAGUGGUUGUUUUCACAACAGUUCCAAGUCAGUUAAUUUCAAAACAACUAGGUCUUUGACUUAUUUCAGUCAUGUGUGUAUACAAAGCCUGCACUGGCCAUUUGUUUAUGUAAUGUAUAGACAUAGCUUACUGUGAUAUCCUUUUAAACAAUAAAACCCCAUCCUCUCAAGCCACUUCAAUCCCUCUUGUGCUAUGAUUUAUCAUGUCACAUACCUGCUUAAAAUCCUCGAAUAAUUUUUUUCUUGCCUACAAAAUAAAGUCUGAGCCUUUGAUUAUAUAAUUCUGCCCUAAUGGAAUCUUUUCACUCUUCUCCAUCUCUCUAGACUGUAGAUUUUCUUCAAGCCCCAGUGUCUCAACUCCUCUACAAAAGCAUCCAUAAAUACUAGAGUCUGCACUGUUUCUCUUCUCUGAAUUUGUAUUGCACUCAAAAUCUAAAGAACAUAAUGUUAACACUUGAAAUGUCAAAAUCAUUGCUUUGUACAUGGCAGAGUACCUAACAGAGUACCUAGCACAUUGUAGACACUCCAUGGAGAUUUGUAAACUUGCCUCAUUGACUUCUUCCAUUGGAAUAAGAAAAAACCUAAGGUGUGAUAACAACAUUCCAAAUUAUACUUUGCUUAGGAAAUAACGUGGAAAAGCUCCUUUCUUGUGUGCCUUUAAUUCUCCACUGAAUCAAUGUUAACUUGUAUAAGUUUACCAUAGUUGUAGGCACCAAUCUAUCACUGAAGAUACAACAGAGUGGGUCAACCUGCAAUGGGCAGUAAGUUUCUGGAAAGGGAGUUAGGGUUUACUUCCAACAUCAACCAUCUCCUCCAUUCAACUUCUACCAAAAAGGUAUUUAUGAUUGAAUCGCAUCUUUAUGACUAGAAACCAAACUCAAUUCAGUAGGAUGAGGGUUGCUAGAGAUGGCAUAAAAAGCUAAAAGUGACACAAAUGACUUUGAGUGUCUGUCAUUACAGAUUAGUUUAUAGUGAAAAAGUGAUUCUCAUUUACAUUAUCUAGGCCAUCAAAAGAAACCUUCUAUAUUAAUCUGCAUAACCUCUAGUUAAUGAAAUUAUACCAAUUCUUAAUACUAUUAUGAAGAUGGAAGAGGCACAGGAGAAGGCGGGAGAAAACAGGAUGGAGAAAGGAUUGGUUUUAUAUAUUAAAAAUAAAUGUGACAGAAGUUGGAUUUUUGCCAUAUUCUCUGGCUCUAUUAAUAACUAAUAUGCCCGUGGUUCAAAACAAAAUCAUUAGACACUAACACAGAGGAAUGUAUAUGCAUAUAUGAGGACACAUUAUUUUAUUUAUAAGAUGUCUUCUCAGUAGGAAACCUAACUUUACCGCACUGCAUGAAAUAAAAAGUGGAAAAAGAAGAAUUUAGAUGCCUGCAUCAUAAAGGCAUCACAAUGACAGGUAAUGUUUCUCUAUGUUGUGAGACUCUCAUGGAUACAACUAUGGGCAAGAGAAGCUGAGAUACUUUUAAUGACAGUAGGAAGACAAGAGCUGAGCUGCUUUUGUGUUCAACUUUUGAAAGACCUAUGGCACAAGGUCCAGUAUGCUAACUCCCUAACCUUGCUUCAACAGAGAACACAGGUUGUGAAAAUUACAUGGAUUUUCUUUUGGAAAACAUCUUGUCUUGUUCCUGAUCCCCAUAUAUUUUAUCACUACUAUAAUUAAUAGAGUAGUAACAUUCUUAAGCCAUCACGGUUGGCCUGAGUUACUUUCUGGGUGCUUCAAGAGCCACAAUUCUUGCUAUCAGAGAGAAAAACUAUGUUAGUAAAUAUGAGUCAAAUGACUUGGUA
rnacentral:lncRNA from 1 species